rnacentral:rRNA from 1 species
AUUGAACGCUGGCGGCAUGCUUUACACAUGCAAGUCGAACGGUAACAGGCCGCAAGGUGCUGACGAGUGGCGAACGGGUGAGUAAUGCAUCGGAACGUGCCCAGUCGUGGGGGAUAACGCAGCGAAAGCUGUGCUAAUACCGCAUACGAUCUAUGGAUGAAAGCGGGGGACCGUAAGGCCUCGCGCGAUUGGAGCGGCCGAUGUCAGAUUAGGUAGUUGGUGGGGUAAAGGCCUACCAAGCCGACGAUCUGUAGCUGGUCUGAGAGGACGACCAGCCACACUGGGUCUGAGACACGGCCCAGACUCCUACGGGAGGCAGCAGUGGGGAAUUUUGGACAAUGGGCGCAAGCCUGAUCCAGCAAUGCCGCGUGCAGGAAGAGGGCCUUCGGGUUGUAAACUGCUUUUGUACGGAACGAAACGGUCUGGGUUAAUACCCCGGGCUAAUGACGGUACCGUAAGAAUAAGCACCGGCUAACUACGUGCCAGCAGCCGCCGUAAUAC